AUUGAACGCUGGCGGCAGGCUUAACACAUGCAAGUCGAGCGAGCGGCGGACGGGUGAGUAACACGUGGGAACCUACCCAUCAGAGGGGGAUAACACUUGGAAACGGUAGCUAAUACCGCAUACCAUCAGAUGUGCCCAGAUGGGAUUAGCUAGUAGGUGGGGUAAUGGCUCACCUAGGCGACGAUCCCUAGCUGGUCUGAGAGGAUGACCAGCCACACUGGAACUGAGACACGGUCCAGACUCCUACGGGAGGCAGCAGUGGGGAAUAUUGCACAAUGGGCGCAAGCCUGAUGCAGCCAUGCCGCGUGUGUGAAGAAGGCCUUCGGGUUGUAAAGCACUUUCAGCGAGGAGGCGUUACUCGCAGAAGAAGCACCGGCUAACUCCGUGCCAGCAGCCGCGGUAAUUC
rnacentral:rRNA from 1 species